GUAGUCAUAUGCUUGUCUCAAAGAUUAAGCCAUGCAUGUCUAAGUAUAAGCAAUUAUACAGCGAAACUGCGAAUGGCUCAUUAAAUCAGUUAUCGUUUAUUUGAUAGUACCUUACUACUUGGAUAACCGUGGUAAUUCUAGAGCUAAUACAUGCUAAAAACCCCGACUCACGAAGGGGUGUAUUUAUUAGAUUAAAAGCCAAUGCCCUUCGGGGCUCACUGGUGAUUCAUAAUAACUUGUCGAAUCGCAUGGCCUUGCGCCGGCGAUGGUUCAUUCAAAUUUCUGCCCUAUCAACUUUCGACGGCUGGGUCUUGGCCAGCCAUGGUGACAACGGGUAACGGAGGGUUAGGGCUCGACCCCGGAGAACGAGCCUGAGAAACGGCUAUUACAUCCAAGGAAGGCAGCAGGCGCGCAAAUUACCCAAUACCGACUCGGUGAGGUAGUGACGAUAAAUACUGAUACAGGGCUCUUUUGGGUCUUGUAAUUGGAAUGAGUACAAUUUAAAUCCCUUAACGAGGAACAAUUGGAGGGCAAGUCUGGUGCCAGCAGCC
rnacentral:rRNA from 1 species